UACGUAGGGGGCAAGCGUUGUCCGGAAUCAUUGGGCGUAAAGCGCGUGUAGGCGGCCUUGUAAGUCCGUUCUGAAAGCCCGGGGCUCAACCCCGGGAGGCGGAUGGAUACUGCAAGGCUCGAGUCCGGAAGAGGCGAGUGGAAUUCCCGGUGUAGCGGUGAAAUGCGCAGAUAUCAGGAGGAACACCAAUGGCGAAGGCAGCUCGCUGGAACGGUACUGACGCUGAGGAGCGAAAGCAUGGGGAGCGAACAGG
rnacentral:rRNA from 1 species